UACAGAGGUGGCAAGCGUUGUUCGGAAUUACUGGGCGUAAAGGGCGAGUAGGUGGCCAUCUAAGUCAGACGUGAAAUCCCCCGGCUUAACCUGGGAACUGCGUCCGAUACUGAAAGGCUUGAAUCCGGGAGAGGGAUGUGGAAUUCCAGGUGUAGCGGUGAAAAUGCGUAGAUAUCUGGAGGAACACCUAUUGCGAAGGCAGCUCGCUGGGACGCUACUGACGCUGAGACGCGAAAGCGUGGGGGAGCAAACAGG
rnacentral:rRNA from 1 species